rnacentral:rRNA from 1 species
CUUCUUUUUCACCGGAGCUUGCUCCACCGGAAAAAGAGGAGUGGCGAACGGGUGAGUAACACGUGGGUAACCUGCCCAUCAGAAGGGGAUAACACUUGGAAACAGGUGCUAAUACCGUAUAACAAUCAAAACCGCAUGGUUUUGAUUUGAAAGGCGCUUUCGGGUGUCGCUGAUGGAUGGACCCGCGGUGCAUUAGCUAGUUGGUGAGGUAACGGCUCACCAAGGCCACGAUGCAUAGCCGACCUGAGAGGGUGAUCGGCCACAUUGGGACUGAGACACGGCCCAAACUCCUACGGGAGGCAGCAGUAGGGAAUCUUCGGCAAUGGACGAAAGUCUGACCGAGCAACGCCGCGUGAGUGAAGAAGGUUUUCGGAUCGUAAAACUCUGUUGUUAGAGAAGAACAAGGAUGAGAGUAACUGUUCAUCCCUUGACGGUAUCUAACCAGAAAGCCACGGCUAACUACGUGCCAGCAGCCGCGGUAAUACGUAGGUGGCAAGCGUUGUCCGGAUUUAUUGGGCGUAAAGCGAGCGCAGGCGGUUUCUUAAGUCUGAUGUGAAAGCCCCCGGCUCAACCGGGGAGGGUCAUUGGAAACUGGGAGACUUGAGUGCAGAAGAGGAGAGUGGAAUUCCAUGUGUAGCGGUGAAAUGCGUAGAUAUAUGGAGGAACCCAGUGGCGAAGCGGCUCUCUGGUCUGUACUGACGCUGAGCUCGAAGCGU